AAGGUAAAGGUCUCUAUGUGGAGAUCACUUUUCUUGGAUUGUUUGGUGAAUGCUCAUUCUAGGGAUGGAUUAAAACUAGGACCUGUUUAUCACUGAAGAGAAGUGCCCAUCUGAGGUUCUUCCUAACAACACAGGGGGCAGAGACAAGAUUUCUGAUGAACCUUUCAGUACAAGCACUUUGAUACUACCUAUUAGCCAACAGAUUUCACCGCAACAGACCUAGGUAAAUUCUCAGAACUUUCCAGCUGGAGAUGCACGUUAUGAAGAGCAAUAAGAGCUGCAGAAGGGGCAAUGUAAAGUUUUUACAAACAAGUUUUUGAAAUAAGAUGCUUCUAGCUCAGGAGAGUAUUGAAAACACGUUUAAAUCCUCCUGAAAACUCUAAGCCAGUGUUUAAAUGCUUUUUGAAAUCAAG